rnacentral:rRNA from 1 species
ACGGGUGAGUAACACGUAUCCAACCUGCCGUCUACUCUUGGACAGCCUUCUGAAAGGAAGAUUAAUACAAGAUGGCAUCAUGAGUCCGCAUGUUCACAUGAUUAAAGGUAUUUCCGGUAGACGAUGGGGAUGCGUUCCAUUAGAUAGUAGGCGGGGUAACGGCCCACCUAGUCUACGAUGGAUAGGGGUUCUGAGAGGAAGGUCCCCCACAUUGGAACUGAGACACGGUCCAA